ensembl:lncRNA
UCUAAAACCAUGCUCAGCCUCUACUGUGAUAGAACUAUGUCUUUACAGUAUAAGAACAGCUGUUUACGUACAUCCUGUCAGUUCUCUGCUUGCCCUGCGUGGUGAUACAGACAUUUUAAGACUGGAAGACAUACAAUUAGAGGUUACCCUACAUUAACACAGGAGGUACCUGAAGUAAUUGAUGUGGAUCAAGAACCAACACCCCCACCAACACCAACACUGCCGGGUAGCCUCGUGGUUAGAGCGUUGGGCUAGUAAUGGAAAGGUUUCAAGAUCAAAUGCCUGAGCUGACAAACUCUGUCAUUUGACCCUGAAUAAGGCAGAUAACCCACCCUUCCUAGGCCAUCACUGAAAAUAAGAAUUUGUUCUUAAUUAACUGCCUUGCCUAGUUAAAUAAAGGUAAAUAAAUAAGUGACCUAACCCUCCUGUAGGCCAUCAGGAUACCUAACCCUCCUACAGCCCCUGCAGGCCAUGAGGACACCUAACCCUCCUACAGCUCCUGUAGGCCACGAGGACACCUAACCCUCCUACAGCCACUGCAGGCCAUGAGGACAAUGAGAAACCUUAUUAUGAUUUUGACCAAUUGGAAAAUUGUGUAAUAAAUCAGCUGGGGGACGGUAUUGAUAGAAGUGUGUAUGAAUCAGAGACUUGAUCAUGCAGUUUUGUUAUGUGAUGAUGUUGGAUACUCUAGGAGUAUUCUCUGGGAUAACAUUUAGAACGGGCUACAGAUGAUGUCUUACAGUUUGAAAUAUGUGGUGAUCGUCUGCAGAACACAGUGUCUCUUGUUUCACCUUAUAGAGAAGAGGAUGUUGAACAAUUUAUAGUCCUGCUGGAACGUCUUGUUCAAUCUAAUUUAUCCAUCAUAGCUGGCUAGUGACCUCCGAAAUGCUGUAGGUCUCUGUAUACAGGAACCUGUGGCUUUCUCUGACAGAGUCACAUUAGAACAUUUGAUGAACAUCAAGAUUGUGGUUUUAUACCAUAGUAAGGAUAAUUCCCUUGAAAUUAGUAGAGCUAAUUCAGCUCCCUAGAAAUUCCAGAACAACCCUCAACCUCAUCCUCAUAUUGAGUAAUUUUAUGUGCAAAACAAACAUUUUGUGUGGAAUUACCAACAUCCAUCAUGUUAAUCAGGCAACACCAGACAGGAGGGGGCACUCAUGUCAGUAUAACUGUUCAGUGUGUCAGGCUACACCAGACAGGGGGGGGGCACUCUUGUCAGUAUAACUGUUCAGUAUGUCAGGAUGAAAAAUGUCUGAUGCAAACAGUACAACUAACACCAUGUGAGUAUUGUCAUCUAACAUGUCGAUCCUUCUACUGCUACGAAAAACACAAACUUGAAACAUGGCAUCCCAAGGCAUGUAAAUCUGUAAGCUGGUGUGACCUCAAUAAGAAAUGUCCAAAAUUCCAACGCAAUUCCAACAUUAAAAUAGACAACCCCCAACCUCACAUAUGUG